rnacentral:pre_miRNA from 1 species
AGCAUAGUUGCUGGGUUAAAUGGUAAGAGGAAGUUAGUUUUAGUAAGACAGUUAAACUGUUUUCCAAAGCAGUUGUGCCUCAUUUGCAUUCCCACCAGCAAC